rnacentral:rRNA from 1 species
AUUGAACGCUGGCGGCAUGCCUUACACAUGCAAGUCGAACGGCAGCACGGGUGCUUGCACCUGGUGGCGAGUGGCGAACGGGUGAGUAAUACAUCGGAACAUGUCCUGUAGUGGGGGAUAGCCCGGCGAAAGCCGGAUUAAUACUGCAUACGAUCCACGGAUGAAAGCGGGGGACCUUCGGGCCUCGCGCUUUAGGGUUGGCCGAUGGCUGAUUAGCUAGUUGGUGGGGUAAAGGCCUACCAAGGCGACGAUCAGUAGCUGGUCUGAGAGGACGACCAGCCACACUGGGACUGAGACACGGCCCAGACUCCUACGGGAGGCAGCAGUGGGGAAUUUUGGACAAUGGGCGAAAGCCUGAUCCAGCAAUGCCGCGUGUGUGAAGAAGGCCUUCGGGUUGUAAAGCACUUUUGUCCGGAAAGAAAACCUUGACUCUAAUACAGUCGGGGGAUGACGGUACCGGAAGAAUAAGCACCGGCUAACUACGUG